AUUGAACGCUGGCGGAAUGCUUUACACAUGCAAGUCGAGCGGCAGCACGGGGGCAACCCUGGUGGCGAGCGGCGAACGGGUGAGUAACACAUCGGAACAUGCCCAGUCGUGGGGGAUAACACUUCGAAAGAAGUGCUAAUACCGCAUACGUCCUGAGGGAGAAAGCGGGGGAUCUUCGGACCUCGCGCGAUUGGAGUGGCCGAUGUCAGAUUAGCUAGUUGGUGGGGUAAAGGCCUACCAAGGCAACGAUCUGUAGCUGGUCUGAGAGGAUGAUCAGCCACACUGGGACUGAGACACGGCCCAGACUCCUACGGGAGGCAGCAGUGGGGAAUUUUAGACAAUGGGGGCAACCCUGAUCCAGCCAUUCCGCGUGAGUGAAGAAGGCCUUCGGGUUGUAAAGCUCUUUCGGCAGGAACGAAACGGCGAGCUCUAACAUAGCUUGCUAAUGACGGUACCUGAAGAAGAAGCACCGGCUAACUACGUGCCAGCCGCCGCCGUAAGAC
rnacentral:rRNA from 1 species